rnacentral:Y_RNA from 1 species
GGCUGGUCUGAAGGUAAUUAGCUAUCUUAACUGAUUGUUCACAGUUACAGAUCAAACCUCUUCUUUUACUCUCCUCCCUUCUCACUAUUGCACUUGACUCAUCUUAA